UACGUAGGGUGCAAGCGUUGUCCGGAAUUAUUGGGCGUAAAGAGCUCGUAGGCGGUUUGUCGCGUCUGCUGUGAAAACUCAGGGCUUAACUCUGAGCUUGCAGUGGGUACGGGCAGACUAGAGUGCGGUAGGGGAGACUGGAAUUCCUGGUGUAGCGGUGAAAUGCGCAGAUAUCAGGAGGAACACCGGUGGGCGAAGGCGGGGUCUCUGGGCCGUAACUGACGCUGGAGGAGCGAAAGCAUGGGGAGCGAACAGG
rnacentral:rRNA from 1 species